rnacentral:rRNA from 1 species
UACGAAGGUGGCAAGCGUUGUUCGGAUUUACUGGGCGUACAGGGAGCGUAGGCGGUUGGAUAAGCCCUCCGUGAAAUCUCCAGGCUUAACCUGGAAAGUGCAGAGGGGACUGUUCAGCUAGAGGAUGGGAGAGGAGCGCGGAAUUCCCGGUGUAGCGGUGAAAUGCGUAGAGAUCGGGAGGAAGGCCGGUGGCGAAGGCGGCGCUCUGGAACAUUUCUGACGCUGAGGCUCGAAAGCGUGGGGAGUAAACAGG